UCUUGAAUCUGUUAGAAAAAGUGCAGCUGAUGCCUCUUAUCAAACUACUGAUAAGGAACGAUUAGGACGUGUAUUUUACAAUCGUUAUAGCAGCGACGAAGAGUAUAGCGAUACUAAUGCAAACUGCGUAUCUCUCAAGGCUAAAAAAAAAGUGGUUAACACAAGCGUUAAACUUUCUACCGUACCAUCAUGUCCCGACAAGUUUAUAUUAAACAAUAUUUACAGUAAUAAAUCUGUAGACAUUCUAAAUAAUAAUGAUGCAAGAAGUGAUACCACUGAAGCUUCCGUAUCGCACUAUUGUAGUGAAAAAAGAAAAAAUUUUUCUGUGAAACCUGCACAUUCCUUCUAUGGAAGGAAGGGUGAGAGAGCAAAAACGCUCUAUCCACUAAACUUAUAAUGGUGCCCUUCUUCUGACACAUUGGAUGGUAAGAGAAAAAAUUAAGAAAACGUCCCGAAAAAGUUGGUUUAUGGAACCAGUCAGUAAUUAAAAAGUUAUUAACGGUGAUCAAUGUGACGUCCAAAAAAUUCAAAGAACUAUCCUCUUUAACUUCCAUCAGGAAUUGUAAUCUCUUGUGAUAAGAAUUAAAGACGUCCAAAACCUGACCAUGACAAGUUUUCGGAAUGGCCAUGGCGACGUUAUCAACGUAUCUUAAGUAAAAAGAAUAUUUCAAGCAAUUACUACGGAUGCAGGCAACAGCAAAUUUAUUGUUAGAAGACAUUAAGCAACGUGUAAGCAGACUCGAGGAUGCAAUAAAAAGUAGUGCCGUUACAAUGAGAAGUAGCAGCGAUGAUAGUCUUAUCGCACAAAUAUUACCUCUUAACUCUAUUGAAAAUAUAAAAGAAUUCGAGUCUAAAGAACACUGAUGAAGCGGUAAUGCAAUUUGUAAGUACAUAACUUUAUUUGUCAAUUUAAUAAUUGAUUAUGUGUUCACGAUUUUUGUAUCUUUCUAUACUGACUGUGUUUUAUCAUGUAAUUGAAAUUGAUUAUUAUCAUAAGAAAAUGGAAUGUAUUCUAAUUGUCCUGUUUCUUUUUAGAAAGAAUUUUUACUAAAAAUUGGAGGCAAUAAUUUAAGAGAUACUAUUCAUCGCACUUUAUCAAAAGUAUUUGGGUAAUUCUCAAAAAACGUUAUCUCCGUGGACUGUAAUCUCCGUGGUAUAUUGACAUAAAAAACAUAGAAAAGUUUUUUAUAUUGCAUAGUCACG